CACCAACUGCCACAGCAGCUCGGGAAGCGUGACGCCGAUGUCCCGCCCGUACGCCCCGGUGUCUUCGGACGUCAGCCACACUUCACACACGCCCUCGCUGAAUGACUGUCUGGCUCGCUCCACAAUCUCCUCUGCAGAAUAAACAUAUGGUGUGUUACAGAGACUCACCCACCUUUGAGUGUCUCUUCCACCACCUCCACCACUCGGUCGAUCUGCUGUACCCCAAUGAUGCUCAGGCCGUCCAGGAACUCAGAGCGUGGUGCCCCUGUGAGGACAUAAAGGUUCUGUUAUCUCAGUCUGGUAAUUGCUGUACUAUUUGUUUCAGUAAAUAAAUUAUAACUACUACU